rnacentral:rRNA from 1 species
GAUGAACGCUGGCGGCGUGCCUAAUACAUGCAAGUCGAACGAGCGGCGGACGGGUGAGUAAUGUCUGGGAAACUGCCUGAUGAAGGGGGAUAACUACUGGAAACGGUAGCUAAUACCUCAUACUAUCAACUGUGCCUAGAUGGGAUUAGCUAUUAGGUGGGGUAAUGGCUCACCUAGGCGACGAUCCCUAGCUGUUCUGAGAGGAUGACCAGCCACACUGGAACUGAGACACGGUCCAGACUCCGACGGGAGGCAGCAGUGGGGAAUAUUGCACAAUGGACGCAAGUCGGAUGCAGCCAUGCCGCGUGUGUGAAGAAGGCCUUCGGGUUGUAAAGCACUUUCAGCGAGGAGGAGUUACUCGCAGAAGAAGCACCGGCUAACUCCGUGCCAGCAGCCGCGGUAAUAC